GCGGCCGCCUGGAGCUCUCGGCCUCGGCCUUCGACGACGGCAACUUCUCGCUGCUCAUCCGCGGUGCGGGGACCGGGGACCGGGGCCGCGGGGUCGGGGCAGGGGUCCGGGGCCGCGGGGUCGGGGGCACCGCAAGGCUCACGCGCGGCUUCCUCCUGGGUGCGCAGCGGUGGAGGAGACGGACGCGGGGCUGUACACCUGCAACCUGCACCAUCACUACUGCCACCUCUACGAGAGCCUGGCCGUCCGCCUGGAGGUCACCGACGGCCCCCCGGCCACCCCCGCCUACUGGGACGGCGAGAAGGAGGUGCUGGCGGUGGCGCGCGGCGCACCCGCGCU
rnacentral:lncRNA from 1 species